rnacentral:tRNA from 1 species
GCUUCUAAAGGAUAAUAGCUCAUCCACUGGCCUUAGGUCCCAGAGACUCUUGGUGCAAAUCCAAGUAGCAGCU